CGCCGGGGCCCAGCAGCCGCCGGGACCGAGCGGGACGCGGCUGUGGGGGCUCCGUCAGGAGCUCCCGCUCACGGCAGCCCGCAGUUCCCGCGGAGCAGCCCCGCUCCGAGGGUCCUACGAGGGGCUUGGCGCCUGUCCGCUUCCUCACGAUCCGUAACCAGGAGGACCCGGCCUUCACCGGGAGCCCGAGCGUGCCGCUGCUCCGCGGAGCCAGACACGAGCUCUGAACCAGCCGGGAGGGGCUGAGCUGAGGCGCUGGUGCCGGGCUGUCGCUGUCACCAGUCCGUGUGUGACUCGGGCGACUCCCCACCUGGUCGGGACGGCCGAUCAAUGGGGAGCCACUGUAAACUUGGCUUUGUUGUGGGAUAAAGACCCAGUUCUUUCAGCGCAACGCAGUCAAAGUUACCCAGGACCUGCGGGAGAGCUUUCUUAGAGAAAUAAAGUUGCCUUCUGAAAUGUUUCCCCAUGGAAGUUACUGGUUAGGUGUCACAAAUGAACUAAAUGAGGCAAUAGUUAAAUAACCUUGUGUGUAUUGUUGGAACAAAACUGCUGUAGGAUUGGAAUUGCACCCUGCUACUGUAGCCAUUCACCCUCAGCAGGGUGGUGGGAAGCACAGUGCAGACGUGUACAACGACAGCAGUGCAGAGAGAUGUACUCCUCUCCUUUUCACAGGCCCCCGUUACUCUCCAGCUACACCAAAACUCAAGGAAAGCAAAAAAAACAUCAUUUGCUUGUGUCACCUGUCGAGAAGUUAAAAGCUGUGUCAUUUAUGUAGUUUUUCAGGAAAUUGUCCUGCUCUAAUUCCAGCUAGAAAGCUUGGUACUUCAUAAAACAUGCUUUUGAGUUUUCCUACCAUUUUUGCCUAUGGAGACAGGGUCUUUCAAAGCUAAACUAAAUCUAGUGCUGUUAAAUGA